GGAGAACUAAAGAUGCCUUUAUUGAUGUCACCCUCAUGGGAUAGAGGGAGUGUUCGGUGUGGUGCACAAUUGCACAGAGAAAGGAAGCGAGUAAAAAAAUGAAUGGUGUGGAAGGAAUGGUUGAGUGACAGCAAGCGGCAGAAACUUGGUACGCGCACGAUCAACGUGGUGAUGAAAGAAUUAAUUGGAAGCCAGUUUACUCAAUACUUCCCACAGGGCACUUAUAAAAUUCACUAACAAUAAUCAUAUGCCCCAAACUACCCUUUUUACCUGAUACAUUAUUUUAAGUUUGUAUUGCUAUUAAACAGUUGUUAUAUACA